UGCCAGGUGUGGCCAAUGUCUGAAUGUGAACCAUGUCAGAUCGGGAACGAAGCAGCAUUAAGCAAUCUCAGGCAUGUGUGCUUCCACCUGGCAUUU
rnacentral:SRP_RNA from 1 species